UACGGCCAUAUUAUGAUGAAACACCAAUUUCCGUACGAUCACCGAAGUUAAGCAACGUCGAGCCUGGUCAGUACCUUGAUGAGUGACCGCUAGGGAAUAUCAGGUGCUGUAAG